GCGCAGCAGGCGCGAAACCUCCGCAAUACACGAAAGUGUGACGGGGCCAUCCCGAGUGCCGUCCGCUGAGGACGGCUUUUCCCCAGUGUACACAGCUGGGGGAAUAAGGAGAGGGCAAGCCUGGUGUCAGCCGCCGCGGUAAUACCAGCUCUCCGAGUGGUGGGGACGCUUAUUGGGCCUAAAGCAUCCGUAGCCGGCUGGGCAAGUCCUCCGUUAAAUCCAACGAUUCAAUCGUUGGGCUGCGGGGGAUACUGUCCAGCUUGGGGGCGGGAGAGGCCGACGGUAUUCCCGGGGUAGGGGUGAAAUCCUAUAAUCCCGGGAGGACCACCAGUGGCGAAGGCUGUCGGCUAGAACGCGCCCGACGGUGAGGGAUGGAAAAGCUGGGGGAGCGAACCGGGAUUAGAUACCCCU
rnacentral:rRNA from 1 species